UACGUAGGGUCCAAGCGUUAUCCGGAAUUACUGGGCGUAAAGCGUGCGCAGGCGGCUCCUUAAGUCAGAUGUGAAAGCCCCGGGCUUAACCUGGGAACUGCGUUUGAAACUGGGGAGCUAGAGUGUAGAAAAGGGGGGUGGAAUUCCAGGUGUAGCAGUGAAAUGCGUAGAUAUCUGGAGGAACACCGAUGGCGAAGGCAGCCCCCUGGGCUAACACUGACGCUCAUGCACGAAAGCGUGGGGAGCAAACAGG
rnacentral:rRNA from 1 species